AGGACGAACGCUGGCGGCGUGCUUAACACAUGCAAGUCGAACGGGGUCCAACCAGUGGAAACGCUGGGGAAGACUUAGUGGCGAACGGGUGAGUAACACGUGAGCAACCUGCCCCGAAGACCGGGAUAACAGCGGGAAACCGCUGCUAAUACCGGAUGCCCCCACCGGGCCGCAUGACCUGGUGAGGAAAUGGAUUCCGCUUCGGGAGGGACUCGCGGCCUAUCAGCUUGUUGGUGGGGUAAUGGCCUACCAAGGCGUCGACGGGUAGCUGGUCUGAGAGGACGAUCAGCCACACUGGGACUGAGACACGGCCCAGACUCCUACGGGAGGCAGCAGUGGGGAAUCUUGCGCAAUGGGCGAAAGCCUGACGCAGCAACGCCGCGUGAGGGACGAAGGCCUUCGGGUUGUAAACCUCUUUCAGCAGGGACGAUUGUGACGGUACCUGCAGAAGAACGCCCGGCCAACUACGUGCCAGCAGCCGCGGUAA
rnacentral:rRNA from 1 species